rnacentral:rRNA from 1 species
GACGAACGCUGGCGGCGUGCUUAACACAUGCAAGUCGAACGGAAAGGCCCUGCUUUUGUGGGGUGCUCGAGUGGCGAACGGGUGAGUAACACGUGAGUAACCUGCCCUUGACUUUGGGAUAACUUCAGGAAACUGGGGCUAAUACCGGAUAGGAGCUCCUGCUGCAUGGUGGGGGUUGGAAAGUUUCGGCGGUUGGGGAUGGACUCGCGGCUUAUCAGCUUGUUGGUGGGGUAGUGGCUUACCAAGGCUUUGACGGGUAGCCGGCCUGAGAGGGUGACCGGCCACAUUGGGACUGAGAUACGGCCCAGACUCCUACGGGAGGCAGCAGUGGGGAAUAUUGCACAAUGGGCGGAAGCCUGAUGCAGCAACGCCGCGUGCGGGAUGACGGCCUUCGGGUUGUAAACCGCUUUCGCCUGUGACGAAGCGUGAGUGACGGUAAUGGGUAAAGAAGCACCGGCUAACUACGUGCCAGCAGCCGCGGUGAUACGUAGGGUGCGAGCGUUGUCCGGAUUUAUUGGGCGUAAAGGGCUCGUAGGUGGUUGAUCGCGUCGGAAGUGUAAUCUUGGGGCUUAACCCUGAGCGUGCUUUCGAUACGGGUUGACUUGAGGAAGGUAGGGGAGAAUGGAAUUCCUGGUGGAGCGGUGGAAUGCGCAGAUAUCAGGAGGAACACCAGUGGCGAAGGCGGUUCUCUGGGCCUUUCCUGACGCUGAGGAGCGAAAGCGUGGGGAGCGAACAGGCUUAGAUACCCUGGUAGUCCACGCUGUAAACGGUGGGUACUAGGUGUGGGGUCCAUUCCACGGGUUCCGUGCCGUAGCUAACGCUUUAAGUACCCCGCCUGGGGAGUACGGCCGCAAGGCUAAAACUCAAAGGAAUUGACGGGGCCCCGCACAAGCGGCGGAGCAUGCGGAUUAAUUCGAUGCAACGCGUAGAACCUUACCCGGGUUUGACAUGGAUCGGGAGUGCUCAGAGAUGGGUGUGCCUCUUUUGGGGUCGGUUCACAGGUGGUGCAUGCCUGUCGUCAGCUCGUGUCGUGAGAUGUUGGGUUAAGUCCCGCAACGAGCGCAACCCUUGUUCACUGUUGCCAGCACGUUAUGGUGGGGACUCAGUGGAGACCGCCGGGGUCAACUCGGAGGAAGGUGGGGAUGACGUCAAGUCAUCAUGCCCCUUAUGUCCAGGGCUUCACGCAUGCUACAAUGGCUGGUACAGAGAGUGGCGAGCCUGUGAGGGUGAGCGAAUCUCGGAAAGCCGGUCUCAGUUCGGAUUGGGGUCUGCAACUCGACCUCAUGAAGUCGGAGUCGCUAGUAAUCGCAGAUCAGCAACGCUGCGGUGAAUACGUUCCCGGG